GGCUUGGUAUUUUAAUUAAAAAUAGUGAAUUGCAAGUUUGCUGAUGCUUGGUUUGGCUCGAGCUU
rnacentral:tRNA from 1 species